rnacentral:antisense_RNA from 1 species
UUUCGCAUUUGGGUUGUUAUCCACAAUGGCAUUACCCACUGCAUGCAACAAGUGCGUUUUACCCAAGCCAGUACCACCGUA